CUUUGAUAAUCUGGUAACAAUUAAUAAAUUGAUAACUGAAUUCUAAUUUAAUAAGACCUACAUUUUAUUUCUUCUAUUAACCUUAAUAAAAGAACGAAAACAAAGCACAAGGCAUAAUUUCCUGAUUCAAAAAAAAAAAUUUUUAUCCAGACCAUGAAAAAAAAUUUUGAGUAGGGGCAUAUUUUGUGAGUCGGUCGCAUUACUGCAAACAAACAUUUUUUUAAGGAUGGCCUCACUGGAUUCAGUUUAUGUGUAAAAUUUGCCAUAUUUUCAGUCUAUGUGUUGCCAUGGCAACCAGAAUUUUCAACAUAGGAAGAAAAGAAAAAGACGUGCAUAAUCUCCAGAUUGCCAUCUACCCAUAUUUCAAGUUUCAUAAAAAUAUUUCCAGUACUUUUUGCGUUAUCACUGGAUCCAGUUUAUGUGUAAAAUUUGCCAUAUUUUCAGCCUAUUUGUUGCCAUAGCAACCAGAAUUUUCAACAUAGGAAGAAAAGAAAAAGACGUGCAUAAUCUCCAUACUGCCAUCUAUCCAUAUAUCAAGCAGGGCUCGACACUAACGAUGGUCCGUUAGCCCGAGGCUACCUUUUUUCCAUAAGGACUACCUAAGUUUCCAAGUUGGGUAUCCCGUCGGGCUACUCGAAAUUUUAGUGACCUGAUACAUUUAAAUUCAUUUAAAAUAAUAAUAAAAUAACAAUUGUUAUUAAUUAAAUGUCCGUUGGGUCGCUAAUGAUCGUAAACGUCAAGCGCUUGGAAUUGCAAGUGUCGGCUACCCACGAGUGUAAACUUAAGCGAAAAUAUGUGGCGUUUCAUUGAAAAUGUUCAAGAGCCGGCCAAAAAAAAGGCCAAAACACGAGACCAACAGCUUGAGGCACAGCGUGAAUAUGACAAAACCAAAAGGAAUCGUAAUUUUCAACCGUCCUGGUCGAAAGAAUUUCCAUGGUUGACAUUUGAUAACGAUAAAAAGUUGAUGUUGCAAGGUUUGCCAAAAAUUUGAUACAACCGGCACAUUUGUUAAUGGCUGUAAUAACUUUAGAUUGCAAAGUGUCCGUAUUCAUGAUAAGUCAGAGGGCCACUUACGUUGUGUAGGAAUGGCAGAUAACACUCCUAGCUCAGAAGGCCAUAGAACUUUAAAAUUGUUGAAUUCUGCAGCACAUGCAAAGUUAAGGCAUUUAUUCAUGAACGCUCACUUUGUUGCCAAGUGUGGACGACCAUACACAGAUUACGUUCAGUUAUGCAAGUUGGACAUUGCAAAAGGGCUGGACAUUGGCAGUACUUAUCUAACAGACAAAAGCUGUCAGAUGUUUAUAUCUUCAAUUGCGGACACAAUUCGAACUAGACAGGAUGCAAAAAUAAAAGCAAGUCCAUUCAUAUCAGUAAUCAGUGACGGGUCUACAGACACAUCUUCAUAAGAGGCUGAAAUUGUGUAUGUCCGUUCAUCAGUCAGUGGCAAUGUGUACACACAUUUCAUGGGCAUCAGGAAUGUUGCCAAGGCUGAUAGCACGAAUAUCAGCAAUGCCAUUAUUAAUGUCCUGAAUGAUCGUUAUGGGGAGGAUUGGAAAGAAAAAGUGAUAGGAGUUGGCACAGAUGGUGCAUCUGUGAUGCUUGGCAAGAAAUCUGGGGUGGUUGUUAAGCAUAGGGAACAUACCAACAGGCCAUUUAUAUACGGCAUUCACUGCUCAGCACAUAGAUUAGAGCUGGCCUACAAAGAUGCUGUCAAGGCUGUAAAUACUAAGUGGACUACACAUCAAAAAUGUGAAGCUUUACUUCUAAACCUUUACUUAUUUUACAAGUAUGUGUAACUAGCAAAGAAUCAUUAAUUAUUCAAAUAAAAGGAAUUAUUUCAGCCAAUAUAAUAUAUAGAUAUACAUUAUUCUUAACAACAAAACUGUGAAUGUUAACAAAAUUAUUAACAUCCAUUGACAUACAUGACAAAAUAAAAUAAUACUGAAAUUUCAGCUGUUUGACAGUCCUGCACUGAUUUUGCACAUGUUGAUUAUAUAUUAACAUAAUGAUCAUCAGUUCUAUUCAUUUCAGACUCAGCCCUUUGAACAGAUCAAACCUCAAGUCAUCUUUUGAGAGUAUUGGACUUAAAGUACUUUUGCCAACACGAGUUGGAGGUACACGCUGGCUUCCACAUACAACAAGAGCUGUCGGUAGGACAGCAACGCUCGACUAUUCUUAGUGCUUGAUAGUAAAAAACUAGAAAUGUG